rnacentral:lncRNA from 1 species
AUGACCUCUGCCAAGGAGGACAUGUGUUCACCAGGGUCUGUCUGUCUGUCUGUCUGUCUGUCUGUAUGUGUCCGUCUGUCUGUGUCUGUAUGUGUCUGUCUGUCUGUAUGUGUCUGUCUGUGUCUGUAUGUGUCUGUCUGUCUGUAUGUGUCUGUCUGUCUGUGUCUGUCUGUCUGUCUGUGUCUGUAUGUGUCUGUCUGUCUGUGUCUGUAUGUGUCUGUCUGUCUGUCUGUGUCUGUCUGUCUGUAUGUGUCUGUCUGUCUGUCUGUCUGUCUGUGUCUGUCUGUCUGUGUCUGUCUGUCUGUCUGUAUGUGUCUGUCUGUCUAUCUGUCUGUCUGUGUCUGUCUGUGUCUGUCUGUCUGUCUGUAUGUGUCUGUCUGUCUGUCUGUAUGUGUCUGUCUGUCUGUGUCUGUCUGUCUGUCUGUCUGUCUGUCUGUGUCUGUCUGUCUGUCUGUAUGUGUCUGUCUGUCUGUGUCUGUCUGUGUCUGUCUGUCUGUCUGUAUGUAUGUGUCUGUCUGUCUGUCUGUCUGUCUGUCUGUAUGUGUCUGUCUGUCUGUCUGUCUGUGUCUGUCUGUCUGUCUGUAUGUGUCUGUCUGUCUGUCUGUGUCUGUCUGUGUCUGUCUGUCUGUCUGUAUGUGUCUGUCUGUCUGUCUGUCUGUCUGUAUGUGUCUGUCUGUCUGUAUGUGUCUGUCUGUCUGUCUGUCUGUGUCUGUCUGUCUGUCUGUAUGUGUCUGUCUGUCUGUAUGUGUCUGUCUGUCUGUGUCUGUCUGUGUCUGUCUGUCUGUCUGUAUGUAUGUGUCUGUCUGUCUGUAUGUGUCUGUCUGUGUCUGUCUGUCUGUAUGUGUCUGUCUGUAUGUGUCUGUCUGUGUCUGUCUGUAUGUAUGUGUCUGUCUGUCUGUAUGUGUCUGUCUGUGUCUGUCUGUCUGUAUGUGUCUGUCUGUCUGUCUGUCUGUGUCUGUCUGUCUGUCUGUAUGUGUCUGUCUGUCUGUGUCUGUCUGUCUGUCUGUAUGUAUGUGUCUGUCUGUCUGUGUCUGUCUGUGUCUGUCUGUCUGUCUGUCUGUAUGUGUCUGUCUGUCUGUCUGUAUGUAUGUGUCUGUCUGUCUGUGUCUGUCUGUCUGUCUGUAUGUGUCUGUCUGUCUGUGUCUGUCUGUGUGUCUGUCUGUCUGUGUCUGUAUGUGUCUGUCUGUCUGUCUGACUGUAUGUGUCUGUCUGUCUGUCUGUAUGUGUCUGUCUGUCUGUGUCUGUAUGUGUCUGUCUGUCUGUCUGUCUGUCUGUGUCUGUCUGUGUCUGUCUGUGUCUGUCUGUCUGUGUCUGUCUGUCUGUGUCUGUCUGUGUCUGUAUGUGUCUGUCUGUCUGUCUGACUGUAUGUGUCUGUCUGUCUGUCUGUAUGUGUCUGUCUGUCUGUGUCUGUAUGUGUCUGUCUGUCUGUCUGUCUGUCUGUGUCUGUCUGUGUCUGUCUGUGUCUGUCUGUCUGUCUGUCUGUCUGUCUGUCUGUGUCUGUCUGUCUGUGUGUGUAUGUCUGUCUGUCUGUCUGUCUGUGUCUGUCUGUGUCUGUCUGUCUGUUACCAAGAUAACUCAAAAAGUUAUGGAUGA